CCUACGGGAGGCAGCAGUGGGGAAUAUUGCACAAUGGGCGAAAGCCUGAUGCAGCGACGCCGCGUGAGGGAUGACGGCCUUCGGGUUGUAAACCUCUUUCAGCAGGGAAGAAGCGAGAGUGACGGUACCUGCAGAAGAAGCGCCGGCUAACUACGUGCCAGCAGCCGCGGUAAUACGUAGGGCGCAAGCGUUGUCCGGAAUUAUUGGGCGUAAAGAGCUCGUAGGCGGCUUGUUGCGUCGGUUGUGAAAGCCCGGGGCUUAACCCCGGGUCUGCAGUCGAUACGGGCAGGCUGGAGUGUGGUAGGGGAGAUCGGAAUUCCUGGUGUAGCGGUGAAAUGCGCAGAUAUCAGGAGGAACACCGGUGGCGAAGGCGGAUCUCUGGGCCAUUACUGACGCUGAGGAGCGAAAGCGUGGGGAGCGAACAGGAUUAGAUACCCUGGUAGUCCACGCCGUAAACGUUGGGAACUAGGUGUUGGCGUACAUUCCACGUCGUCGGUGCCGCAGCUAACGCAUUAAGUUCCCCGCCUGGGGAGUACGGCCGCAAGGCUAAAACUCAAAGAAAUUGACGG
rnacentral:rRNA from 1 species